GCACGGUGUACAAUUACUUUAAUCCUAGCCAUUCAAUUGAUCUAAUGCUCAAAAAUUGGACAGCUCAUUUAGACACGUCAGCGAUCCGUUUCCAGCCGAACAUGCCUCAGAAUCUCUCUCUCUCAUGCCUCAAAAAAAGCCACCAGUGAUGCUACGGUUACCUCUCCACCAAAGAAUGAAUGUGAACCAACAGUGUUUCAGCUACCCACCCAAAUGUGAUUAGAUCUGUUUUCAAGGAGAUUCAUCAAGUUGAUAAAUGUUCCGGGCUACUCUCCAAAUGGGCUGAUUCCAUUAACUUACCGUUUACGGAAGAGAUGGGAAUUGAGGCAAGGAACAGAGUACAAGAAAUCUCUCAAGUUUGCCAUGCCAUCAAGUAGGGAUUAGAUUUUUGACCCCUUGGAACGACAGUCAGGGAGGUCUUUGUGUAGUUUAACACAAACCAUCCCAAUGGAAUACCACUGUAGUUAAUAACUUUUUUUCAAUUGGCUAAUUCCAAAUGCAAUUUUGGUUUUGGGAAAUGCA